GCGAGAUUUUCUGUUGUGCUUGAUCUAACCAUGUGGUUGUGAGGUAUGCGUAAAACAUGGUUCUGUCAAGCACCAUGGAACGUCACGCAGCU
rnacentral:pre_miRNA from 1 species